GUUUAUUUAUUCAGUAUUUAACACAGCUGACACAAAAUAACGUUAAAAUAUAAUGGUGUUUUUUUUUUAUUCAACAUGUUGUGAAAAAUGUAGCCCUUCGUGUUAUGCAAAGACGGUUAGCCUUCUUGCUACAAGAGAAACCUCGGGUUUUCAAGAAAAUGGCCGCAUAUCAAUUAGUCACAAGCCGUUCCGUAAGAUCAAUCAAUUUUAGGUUAACUCAUUACUUUAUAACCUAAAAGUUAAAUGUCCGU